rnacentral:rRNA from 1 species
AACGCUGGCGGCAUGCCUAAUACAUGCAAGUCGAACGCUGAAGCACUCUGCUUGCAGAGUGCGGAUGAGUGGCGAACGGGUGAGUAACACGUGGGGAAUCUGCCUAGGAGUGGGGGAUAACAUUCGGAAACGGAUGCUAAUACCGCAUAUCUUCUUAGACCGCAUGGUCUAUGAAUGAAAGACGGCUUUGCUGUCGCUCUUAGAUGAUCCCGCGGCGUAUUAGUUAGUUGGUGGGGUAAAGGCCUACCAAGACAAUGAUACGUAGCCGACCUGAGAGGGUGAUCGGCCACACUGGGACUGAGACACGGCCCAGACUCCUACGGGAGGCAGCAGUAGGGAAUCUUCCACAAUGGGUGCAAACCUGAUGGAGCAAUGCCGCGUGAAUGAAGAAGGUCUUCGGAUCGUAAAGUUCUGUUAUUAGUGAAGAACAAAUCGAGGAGUAACUGUCUCGAUUUUGACGGUAACUAACCAGAAAGUCACGGCUAACUACGUGCCAGCAGCCGCGGUAAUACGUAGGUGACAAGCGUUGUCCGGAAUUAUUGGGCGUAAAGGGAGCGCAGGCGGUUGGAAUAGUCUGAUGUGAAAGCCCACGGCUUAACCGUGGAAGGUCAUUGGAAACUGUCCAACUUGAAUGCAGAAGAGGUAAGUGGAAUUCCAUGUGUAGCGGUGAAAUGCGUAGAUAUAUGGAGGAACACCAGUGGCGAAGGCGACUUACUGGUCUGUGAUUGACGCUGAGGCUCGAAAGCGUGGGUAGCGAACAGGAUUAGAUACCCUGGUAGUCCACGCCGUAAACGAUGAGUGCUAAGUGUUGGAGGGUUUCCGCCCUUCAGUGCUGGAGUUAACGCAU